GCCAGCAGACAUAUUACCCUGCAACUCACAACUGACAUCCCACUGAAGCUAAGCAGGUGUGAGCCUGGUCAGUACCUGGAUUGGAGACCUGGGAAAAACUAAGGUUGCUGCUGGAA
rnacentral:rRNA from 1 species